rnacentral:rRNA from 1 species
UACGGGGGGAGCAAGCGUUGUUCGGAUUUACUGGGCGUAAAGGGCGCGUAGGCGGUCGUGACAAGUCACUUGUGAAAUCUCCGGGCUUAACUCGGAACGGUCCAAGUGAUACUGUCGGACUAGAGUACAGAAGGGGCAACUGGAAUUCUCGGGUGUAGCGGUGAAAUGCGUAGAUAUCGAGAGGAACACCUGCGGCGAAGGCGGGUUGCUGGGCUGACUGACUGACGCUGAGGCGCGAAAGCCAGGGGAGCGAACGGG